rnacentral:lncRNA from 1 species
GGUGUGGGAGGGGGUGAAAAAGUUCAACAUUUCCCAACUUUAUGACCACUGGGCAAUGACCAAUCAUAUCGAGUGGUUCCCAUGACGAAUUUGACACUAUGCGAACCAUCGCUGGAGACUUUCUUCAAUAUCAGCACUGAUCUGAGGACACAUGAUAGUGUAGUCUGUUGUUCCCAGGGAACAGCACCCUCUUUGAAAAAGUAGGAAGUGAAGAUCUCCCGCACCCAGAUUGCCUCCUGUGUUGCAUUGUUGGGCCCCAUCCUGACAACAUCCUGCAGAGCAGCAGACCUCUCCUCUAGCACACGUCUGCAAAGCUGUAGAUGCCAUCCUGGUCCUCGUGUCCAUCCUCAAGAAGUUAUGCAGGACACAGGUGGACUUCACACACACCUGAAUUCCCGCAGGAGGCAGUCCCAGAUGGCCCUGGUCACCCAACCGUGCAGUGCCCUACACGGUAACUGUAGGCAUUCGUUUUGAAGGGAUCUCCAGUUGCAAGGCCAGAUCUCAAAGUGACACAGGAGUGAGGAGGUCCUCACCUGUCAAAACAGGAAAUUCAAAUACAGCUAACCACUGCAAACUUUCAAAUAGGGGAGUUCAAAAGAGAAAAUGCAGCAUUCAGACAAUCUCUCUCCGUGAUUGAAGAGUUGCCACGUUUGCUCCAGGAGGUGAAAAACCUAGAGAGGGAGAGAAUGAGACACACAAUUUCAAAGGACAUCAUGGUUAGUGGAUCCCCAGCCAUCUCCAAAACUCACAAUGACAUCAUGGCUGGACCCUCCAACCCACAAAAGCAGCACUCCAAGACAUAGUCGUCACAACCCUACCAGACAGCAUGGUAGGGUAACUUUAAACCUUGAACUGUAAAGCGGGGAUGCAAACUAGUCACAAUUUGAAUACAAAAGCAGGUGUAUUAACAUUGUAACAAUACAGCAAGCAGAAAAAUACUGUAUGCAUGUGCAGUUUUUCUUAAUUUAUUGUAAAUGUGUAAUGCAUAUUGUAGUACAAUGAUAAUUUGUCUUAAUUUAUAGAGUGCCAUAUAGGAUUAUGCAAAACAUGUUCACAAAACUAUUUCUCGUUAACUACUAAUACUAUCUAACGGAGUACAGCAAGCAAACAACUUGAGUCAUGGCAGAAAGGACUACAAUAAUGGUUUUAUAAUUCAAAUACAUUUACUUACUUAAAGGGGUGGUUCAUCGA